GGACGAGAAAAGAAACAGAAGAUACCAAUAUUUUAUCAUUUGGCUUUCAGAAUAAUCUGUAGGGUUUAGUUCAGGGUUUUCCCCAUCUUGGCUUCUUCCUCCAUAAUCACGCAUUUCUCACUUCUCAAAAAGAUUCAAUCUUUUCUUCUCACUUCCGGGUAUAUCUCUAUAUGUUGUUGUUCCUGUCAUUUCAUAUAUGCGUUCAUACAACCAUGGAUGGAUUUAUUAUAUCUCUCUCCCUCUAAAUCUGCUUGUUCUCGUUUUUGUUACCAAUCUCUGGAUAUCAAAGUCGGUUUCUUUUGAUUGUUUGAAAUUCCCAUCUGCAGAUAUUCAUGGGUGUGAUUGAUAUCUACAGCACUGCCUCUAUCUGUUUGAUUAAAUCCAACAACAUUCUUCACCAAUUUUUGGUGCCUCGAAGUCCCAAUUACUCUUUCGAAGUGAAUAAUCAAAGAAGGGUCAUUGCCAUGGCCUCCACUCUACCUGUUCAACAGAAGUUGACUGGCGACUCGUUUAUCCGUUCACAUUUGAGAAAAUUGUCCCCUUAUCAACCUAUUUUACCUUUUGAGGUUUUGUCGGCUAAUCUUGGCAGGAAGCCUGAGGAUAUUGUUAAAUUAGAUGCAAAUGAAAACCCUUAUGGACCACCUCCAGAGGUAUUUGAAGCUUUGGGGUCUUUGAAAUUCCCUUACAUAUACCCUGAUCCUCAAAGUCGUCAGUUGCGUGAGGCUCUUGCCAAAGAUUCUGGCCUUGAAUCUGAUUACAUUCUUGUGGGAUGUGGUGCUGAUGAGCUCAUUGACCUAAUUAUGCGAUGUACAUUGGAUCCUGGUGAUAAGAUUGUGGACUGUCCUCCAACCUUUACAAUGUAUCAAUUUGAUGCUGCAGUUAAUGGUGCAGAGGUUAUCAAGGGUAAAAAAGACAUUUUUAGCACAGUAAUGCUUACUAUUUUUUGGACAUUCUCUAAGAAUUCUCCUACAUCAUCGAUUUUUUUUAUUGAAACCUAGAUUUUCUGGGUUUGUCACUGAUAUUUCAUACCUUAAAGAAACUGGAGUUUAUGCCUUUCAUUUUUUUUCAUUCUUAUAUUUGUUAGAUAAGGCUAUUAAUAUUUCAUCUUUACUUCAGUUCUGAGGAAGCCAGACUUUAGCUUGAAUGUUAAGCUUAUUGUUGAUGCUGUUCAACUGGAGAACCCCAAAUGCAUUUUCUUUACUUCACCAAAUAACCCUGAUGGGAGGUGAGUUCUGGUUAUUUCUCUUCACAGUGCAUUUUGUAUCUUUUAUAGCAUGACAAAUUGGGGUCUCUGGUGUUUCCCUUUGUAUUAUAGGUUUAUGGAUGGGGUUGUAACUCUAACUUCUGGCUUUACCUUAUAUAAGAUAUUCCUGUUGUCCAUGCAGAGGAUUAAAUUAAUGUGGAUUACUGAGAUUUCAAAGCUCAAAAGAAACUUGUUUUAUAAAAUAAACUUUAAAGAAAUGUUGCUGACUUGGUUGUUGGUGCUUUACAUCAGUAUAGUGACUCCAGAAAAGAAAAAGAAAAAGAGAAAAAAAAAGAAAGUGUCUAAGGAUAAUUCACUGUCUCUAGACAAUCACGUCAGUAUUUUCUUUUGUCAUGGAAGAUGUUCAAUUUCCAUCCAUUCAUGGAACCAAGUGACACUAAAGGUUUUUUUUACUUUAAUGUGGUUAAGUUGCCUAUUGUAUCUCCAAAAUUUUCAAGCAUAGAAUCCUGGAACAGUACACCAUUGUGUUGUGACAUUCUAGAUUUGAGUCUUAUUUUUUUUAAUUUGCAUGAUACUUAUUGUUUGGCAGUAUAAUCAGUGAUGAAGAUCUAUUGAAAAUCCUUGACCUCCCAAUCUUGGUAGUGUUGGAUGAAGCAUACAUUGAAUUUUCAGGACUGGAAUCUCGGAUGAAAUGGGUGAAGAAGCAUGACAAUUUGAUUGUUCUACGGACAUUUAGCAAGAGAGCCGGUUUAGCUGGACUCCGAGUUGGAUAC
rnacentral:misc_RNA from 1 species